CUGGCGGCGUGCUUAACACAUGCAAGUCGAGCGGGGAGGCUUUUCGGCACCGACGGCUGAGGCUGGCUGAAGCAGAGCAAGAAGGGAAGCGCGGGGGGGGACCCGAGCGGAACGGAGAGCGAAGCGGAGGGGCGCGACAGUUGUGGGUGCUGGAAGGGCUUCCAGCGGCGGACGGGUGAGUAACGCGUGAACAAUCUGUCCCGGACAGGGGGAUAACAGAUGGAAACAUCUGCUAAUACCGCAUAAGACCACGGCCUCGCAUGGGGCUGGGGUAAAAGGAGGAAUCCGGUUUGGGGUGAGUUCGCGUCUGAUUAGCUAGUUGGUGAGGUAACGGCCCACCAAGGCGACGAUCAGUAGCCGACCUGAGAGGGUGAUCGGCCACACUGGAACUGAGAGACGGUCCAGACUCCUACGGGAGGCAGCAGUGGGGAAUAUUGGGCAAUGGGCGAAAGCCUGACCCAGCAACGCCGCGUGAAGGAAGAAGGUUUUCGGAUUGUAAACUUCUGUCCUCAGGGAAGAAGGAAGUGACGGUACCUGAGGAGGAAGCCCCGGCUAACUACGUGCCAGCAGCCGCGGUAAUACGUAGGGGGCGAGCGUUGUCCGGAAUGACUGGGCGUAAAGGGCGCGUAGACGGCUAUAUAAGUCUGGAGUGAAAGUCCUGCUUUCAAGGUGGGAAUUGCUUUGGAGACUGUAUGGCUUGAGUGCGGAAGAGGUAAGUGGAAUUCCCAGUGUAGCGGUGAAAUGCGUAGAGAUUGGGAAGAACACCAGUGGCGAAGGCGACUUACUGGGCCGUAGCUGACGUUGAUGCGCGAAAGCGUGGGGAGCGAACAGGAUUAGAUACCCUGGUAGUCCACGCGGUAAACGAUGAGUGCUAGGUGUAGCGGGUAUCGACCCCUGCUGUGCCGGAGUUAACACAAUAAGCACUCCGCCUGGGGAGUACGGCCGCAAGGUUGAAACUCAAAGGAAUUGACGGGGGCCCGCACAAGCAGCGGAGCAUGUGGUUUAAUUCGAAGCAACGCGAAGAACCUUACCAGGUCUUGACAUCGAGGCAAAGCCGUAGAGAUACGGUGUUCAGCAAUGAGGCCGAAGACAGGUGGUGCAUGGUUGUCGUCAGCUCGUGUCGUGAGAUGUUGGGUUAAGUCCCGCAACGAGCGCAACCCUUAUGGUCAGUUACUAACGGGUGAAGCCGAGGACUCUGACGAGACUGCCGGGGACAACUCGGAGGAAGGUGGGGACGACGUCAAAUCAUCAUGCCCCUUAUGACCUGGGCUACACACGUGCUACAAUGGUGGCAACAAAGAGGCGCGAGCCCGCAAGGGGGAGCGGAUCUCAAAAAAGUCAUCUCAGUUCGGAUUGUGGGCUGCAACCCGCCCACAUGAAGUCGGAGUUGCUAGUAAUCGCGGAUCAGCAUGCCGCGGUGAAUACGUUCCCGGGCCUUGUACACACCGCCCGUCACACCAUGGGAGUCGGGAGCACCCGAAGUCGGCGAGGUAACCGCAAGGGGCCAGCCGCCGAAGGUGAGAUCGAUGACUGGGGUGAAGUCGUAACAAGGUAGCCGU
rnacentral:rRNA from 1 species